rnacentral:lncRNA from 1 species
UGACAAUAACUUACUUGCCUUGUAGUAACCAUGUGUUCUUCUGGUCUCCCUUUAGGGCAAGAUGCCAACAAUCUAGUGAUUAGCCGUCCAGGGCCUGGCCAACUCCAAAUCUACUUAUCUCAAAGACCAUCAUGUCUUGAAGGAACACAGAGCCCUUCCGUGUGAGCUACGGGUCCUGCCUACUUAAGCAAUCCCCUGUAUGUUCGCGAUGGCGGUGUGCAACUCGGUCCAGCUGGCCACUCCUGGACUCCCUGUAUGUAAGUUCCCAAUAAAUGCUAUGUCUCUGACUCCUCCUCUAGGUCUGUUCUUCGGUCUCUCUGCUACCUAUCCUUUGCUGCUUGCCUAGUUAGGCAUGCAGUCAGAUAGCAACAAAUAAAAGUUAAUGCUGAGACUGGGACUAAGUAUGACCUUCUUCGUUGCUUGUUCUAACAAUGAGCAGAUACCUGCAUUGAAAUUGACUUUUCAUUGUUUUUCUACAUCACCAAACUCCCUGGUAACAUAUUUAAUAUCUGUUAAAAUAUUCGUGGAGAUGUAAACUCUGAAUCUAAUUACUUGCAUCUUAGGCUUCAAACAGUGGUAAAUGUUAAAAAGGUUUUCCUUUCUCUCUUUAUCAGGUUCUGUGCAGAUGCAUCAAUAUGAAACAAAGUAUGAAUGGACCACUACUGGCAAAGAGAGCAGGACGGCAAAGCUCGUCCAUCCCCUCCCAACCUCUUCACUGCAUCUGGGAAAGAACAGGCAGCUAAGGAGAAGGGGAGAAAGUGAGCAAAAGUGUCGAGAUGCAGUCCCAGGACCCCGUCCUCCCUUUCCACUGCUGGCUUCCAGACUGAAAAGAAAGAAGAAAGAGCAUGAGCACACUGGAAAGCCCUACACUAAUAGCUCGGUGACCAUCGCAGAGCAUCCUGAGCUUCCUAGUUUCCAGUUCCAUGUCUAAAGAAAAACAACUUGCUAAUUGCCCUGUCUCAAAUCCGAAAGAUUCCUGUGUGAAAUGAUAACAGCAAACACUUCUACAAUGUUUCCUCUGUGUCAGAAACUCUUCCAAGGACUCUGCUAGUAUUAAAAACAUUAAGCCUUCCAACAACUCUAUACAAAAGCAGUUGUAUUUCUCACUUUGCAAAUGAGGAAACUGAGGCAAACAGUGGUCAAACUACCUGAUUAAGAUCACAUUGCUGAGAAGUAACAGAGGCAGCCUCCAACAUUCACAGUCACUGCUCCAGAGAGCCUCAAUAGGAGAUAGGAUAAUCCUUGCCCUAAAAGAGUUCAUGCCCUUUAUAUGAUAGAGGAGGCAAGGUAGAACACAGGACUAAACCACAAUCUCAAACUGGUCACUCGGUAAUUCUGACUCUCAGCUUCUGGGCGUCAGAUGUGUUUCUCAGGGGAGGGAGUCUGUGAUAUGAGGGCAGUGGCUCUCUCCCUUGCAAUUUUGCAUAAUAUGUAGGGCUUUUCUCAAAAUUAAGAGUAAGCAUUAAUAAAUGCUUAUUAAAUCACUUUGUACA